rnacentral:rRNA from 1 species
UUUGCCUACGGGGGGCAGCAGUGGGGAAUAUUGCACAAUGGGCGCAAGCCUGAUGCAGCCAUGCCGCGUGUAUGAAGAAGGCCUUCGGGUUGUAAAGUACUUUCAGCGGGGAGGAAGGCGAUAAGGUUAAUAACCUUGUCGAUUGACGUUACCCGCAGAAGAAGCACCGGCUAACUCCGUGCCAGCAGCCGCGGUAAUACGGAGGGUGCAAGCGUUAAUCGGAAUUACUGGGCGUAAAGCGCACGCAGGCGGUCUGUCAAGUCGGAUGUGAAAUCCCCGGGCUCAACCUGGGAACUGCAUUCGAA